AUAAGACAAGUCGGGAAAGUUUUUCGCUAAGGGAUCAGUCUAUGUUCCAUCAGCUUGUUGGUGAGGUAAUGGCUCACCAAGGCUAUGACGGAUAUCUGGUUUGAGAGGAUGAUCAGACACACUGGAACUGAGACACGGUCCAGACUCCUACGGGAGGCAGCAGUGAGGAAUAUUGCACAAUGGAGGAAACUCUGAUGCAGCAACGCCGCGUGGAGGAUGACGCAUUUCGGUGUGUAAACUCCUUUUAUUAGGGAAGAUAAUGACGGUACCUAAUGAAUAAGCACCGGCUAACUCCGUGCCAGCAGCCGCGGUAAUACGGAGGGUGCAAGCGUUACUCGGAAUCACUGGGCGUAAAGGGUGCGUAGGCUGGCUUUUAAGUCAGAUGUGAAAUCCAAUGGCUCAACCAUUGAACUGCAUUUGAAACUGAAAGCCUAGAGUUCAGAAGGGGCAGAUGGAAUUAGUGGUGUAGGGGUAAAAUCCGUAGAUAUCACUAGGAAUAUCAAAAGCGAAGGCGAUCUG
rnacentral:rRNA from 1 species